rnacentral:lncRNA from 1 species
UCCUAUGUCCUUAGGCUAUGUUUGGUUGGAGAAUAAAGGUGGAAUAAAGAGUUUAUUCCACCUUAUCUCCAAACACAAACAAAAAAUAGUAGGAACAUUAAUUCACUCCUUAAUAGCCUGUUAAGAGGUGGGAACUAGUAUUCCCACCCCAAGAUGGGAUAACCCAACUUGUUCCACCCGUAAAGAAAGAGAGAGAGAGAGAAUUUUUAAUUUAUUAUAAAAUUUAAAUUUUAUAAGUUUAAAAAUUAAUAUUUAUAAUUUUUAAAAUUAUAAAACUUAAAAUUUAAAAUUUAAAUUGUUUAAU